rnacentral:tRNA from 1 species
UGGCUCAAUUGGUAGAGUACUUGCUUAGCAAGCAUGAAUCCUUGAGUUCAAAUCCCAG